GACGAACGCUGGCGGCGUGCUUAACACAUGCAAGUCGAGCGGUAAGGCCCUUUCGGGGGUACACGAGCGGCGAACGGGUGAGUAACACGUGGGUGACCUGCCCUCAGCUCUGGGAUAAGCCUGGGAAACCGGGUCUAAUACUGGAUAUGACUCCAUGACGCAUGUUGUGGGGUGGAAAGCCUUGUGCGGCUGAGGAUGGGCCCGCGGCCUAUCAGCUUGUUGGUGGGGUGAUGGCCUACCAAGGCGACGACGGGUAGCCGGCCUGAGAGGGCGACCGGCCACACUGGGACUGAGACACGGCCCAGACUCCUACGGGAGGCAGCAGUGGGGAAUUUUCGCAAUGGGGGCAACCCUGACGAAGCAACGCCGCGUGGGGAUGAAGGUCUUCGGAUUGUAAACCCCUGUCGACCGGGACGAAUGUAGAACGGCCUAAUACGCCGAGCU
rnacentral:rRNA from 1 species